GAUGGACGCUGGCGGCGUGCCUAAUACAUGCAAGUCGAGCGAACGGACGAGAAGCUUGCUUCUCUGAUGUUAGCGGCGGACGGGUGAGUAACACGUGGAUAACCUACCUAUAAGACCGGGAUAACUUCGGGAAACCGGAGCUAAUACCGGAUAAUAUUUUGAACCGCAUGGUUCAAAAGUGAAAGACGGUCUUGCUGUCACUUAUAGAUGGAUCCGCGCUGCAUUAGCUAGUUGGUAAGGUAACGGCUUACCAAGGCAACGAUGCAUAGCCGACCUGAGAGGGUGAUCGGCCACACUGGAACUGAGACACGGUCCAGACUCCUACGGGUGGCAGCAGUAGGGAAUCUUCCGCAAUGGGCGAAAGCCUGACGGAGCAACGCCGCGUGAGUGAUGAAGGUCUUCGGAUCGUAAAACUCUGUUAUUAGGGAAGAACAUAUGUGUAAGUAACUGUGCACAUCUUGACGGUACCUAAUCAGAAAGCCACGGCUAACUACGUG
rnacentral:rRNA from 1 species